rnacentral:rRNA from 1 species
AUUGAACGCUGGCGGCAUGCCUUACACAUGCAAGUCGAACGGCAGCGGACCUUCGGGUGCCGGCGAGUGGCGAACGGGUGAGUAAUGCAUCGGAACGUGCCAUUGAGUGGGGGGAUAACGUAGCGAAAGUUACGCUAAUACCGCAUAUUCUGUGAGCAGGAAAGCAGGGGACCGCAAGGCCUUGCGCUCUUUGAGCGGCCGAUGUCAGAUUAGCUAGUUGGUGAGGUAAAGGCUUACCAAGGCGACGAUCUGUAGCGGGUCUGAGAGGAUGAUCCGCCACACUGGAACUGAGACACGGUCCAGACUCCUACGGGAGGCAGCAGUGGGGAAUUUUGGACAAUGGGCGCAAGCCUGAUCCAGCCAUGCCGCGUGAGUGAAGAAGGCCUUCGGGUUGUAAAGGCUCUUUCGGCCGGGAAGGAAAUCGCAUGGGUUAAUACCCUGUGUGGAUGACGGUACCGGAAUAAGAAGCACCGGCUAACUACGUAGCCAGCAGCCGCGGU